CUAGCCUAGUGGUCAUGGCAUCUGCCCGGUAAGCGGAAGGUCGUGGGUUCGAUUCCCAUCCCUUGA
rnacentral:tRNA from 1 species